UACGUAGGGUGCAAGCGUUAAUCGGAAUUACUGGGCGUAAAGCGUGCGCAGGCGGUUUUGUAAGUCUGACGUGAAAUCCCCGGGCUCAACCUGGGAAUUGCGUUGGAGACUGCAAGGCUAGAAUCUGGCAGAGGGGGGUAGAAUUCCACGUGUAGCAGUGAAAUGCGUAGAGAUGUGGAGGAACACCGAUGGCGAAGGCAGCCCCCUGGGUCAAGAUUGACGCUCAUGCACGAAAGCGUGGGGAGCAAAUAGG
rnacentral:rRNA from 1 species